rnacentral:lncRNA from 1 species
GAAAGUGCCCUGUGCAGCCCUCCUUUGCAUGUUUUCUAUGAUCAUUUUGAGGUGUUUUAAGGGGGUUUUUGGGGAGUAUUUUAGAGUCAUGUUCAUGUAUGUUUGGUCCCUCAUUUGAGUCCACCUGUGUAGGUUCGGACCCGAGGAACCGAGGACCUCAGCAGUGAGACGACUGCUUCAGUGUCUUGUCAGAGCUAGCCUAAGGUGAGUGGAAUAACUCUUUAUGUUUCAAAGCAAGUAAUAAAAGUUUAGCAUGAUUCAUGCAUCAUGAAUGCCAUGAGAUAUAUUAGGGUGCUUGCAUUAGAAUUCACGAAUAUGCUGCAUUGCAUAUUAUGUUAUUGAUGUGGAUGAAUGUUGAAUGAUCCAUUAGCCCUCA